rfam:Lactobacillus algidus DSM 15638 Scaffold1, whole genome shotgun sequence.
GUUCGUCUUCAGGGGCAGGGUGAAAUUCCCGACCGGCGGUGAUAGUCCGCGACCUACAUUACAUAUGUGGCUGGACUGGUGAAAUUCCAGUAUCGACAGUUAAAGUCUGGAUAAAGAAGAUAGGG